AUACUCGCUUAGGCGGUACAUACACUAAAAUUGGAACGAUACAGAGAAGAUCAACAUGGCCCCCGCGCAAGGAUGACAGAGAAGAGAAGGUGAAAGAGGUGAU